rnacentral:rRNA from 1 species
AUCGAUGAAGAACGCAGCGAAAUGCGAUAAGUAAUGUGAAUUGCAGAAUUCCGUGAAUCAUCGAAUCUUUGAACG